rnacentral:lncRNA from 1 species
GAAGGAAGGAAGGAGAAAGAAAGAAAGAAAGAAAGAAAGAAAAAGAAAGAAAGAAAGAAAGAAAGAAAGAAAGAAAGAAAGAAGGAAGGAGAAAGAAAGAAGGAAGGAAGGAAGGAAAGAAAGAAAGAAGGAAGGAAAGAAAGAAAGAAAUUAUACGAUCGCAUGGUGUUAUUCUGUCACCCAGGCUGGAGCACAGUGGCAUGAUCUUGGCUCACUGCAACCUCCACCUCUUGGGUUCAAGCGACUCUCCCACCUCAGCCUCCCAAGUAGCUGGGACUACAGUGAAGCCGUUGGAGAUGUGAACCUGGAGAAUAUCGGUGUUGAAGGGAAAGCCAGAAGAGCCAGUGGAGGAAACUGAUUGGACGGGAGAUGUAGUCCUCAAGAGUGACCAGGGUGGCACGACUGCAGAACUCGGUUUCCCGACUGGCUUUCGAGGCGCGUGCGCAGAUGGCUGCCCCGGCGAGUGGUAAACAGAGACGUCAGGAGGGGGCUGCUGCUUGGAGCAAAACAAAAGGGAAACCCGGGGGGCGGGGGGUGGGGGGGGUUGAUAGGGGAAUCGGUGCGGGAAUAAGGGAGGCCGCAGCCGCGGGGACCCGGACCCUAGUAAGAGUGGCGAGAAGGGAAGAGG